UCUUUCGGUGGUCUGAGCCUAGCAAGGCCUGCCCGCCUGCCGGCUCCAAGUCUUCUCUGCCCUGAGCCUGUCUGCAGGAUGAGACAGCAUAUGGGGACAUGGACCAGUGGCUUUCCCAGCCCAGGACCUUUGCUGCUCCUCAGGACUGAGCCGAACCACAGCUCUUCUCACUUGGGCCAAGUUAAAUGCCAGGGCUGUUGAUACAGUAAACAGGAAAAAGGGCAUUUGGAUUUGGUCCCUGAGGCUGGGCCUGAGGGGUCAGGCUGCCCUCCAUGAGGAACAGGACAUGGUAGGGACUCGGUUGCCGCUUCUCUCUUCUACUGUCCCAGCUGUCUCUGUUUUUUAGGCAACUUUCUGUGGCUUUUUCAAGAGUGGAGAUUUGGCUGGAGCAGGAUUAGGAAGCCUCCUGCUACACGCUUUCCCUGAGAAAAACCUCCUCUCUGGAAGGGGCCUGAGGUGAAAAUGAUUCAGAAGGCAGCUGAGGAGUUCUGGAAAGAGCCCCAAAGACCAGGCUCUGAGGCCUCCCUGGGCCACUUACUAACUAAAUGGGAGAAGAUUACUUGAGAAAAAGCCUAGAACAGUGCCCAGCAUGAUACCCCGUUGUGAAUUACCAUUUGGAGGUAGUCCGUCCCCACCUGGAGUGGAUCAAAGACAACAGAGGCCAACGGGGAAAAAGUUUGAGCUUUGCCAGGCUGAUAUUGGCUGCUGAAUAAGGGUGAUUUUCUCUUGUAAAAUGGCUUGAACCCCAAAGCUAUAGCACAAGCAAGCAGGGUCAUCAGAAGCCACUCCAUUCUUCUGGAAGCUGCAGGGAAAUGGAACCCAGAAACCAGGGAGAAGUGCCCAGCAGCAGCCAAUGGAAAGGGGACUUGCCUGCUGGCUGGAGGACCCCGGCCUGGGGCUCACGGCAGCCACAGAAAUGAGUGAGUAUUGCUGGUUGUAGUUGGAGUCACCAAUGCCUUUCCUUCCUUCACAUGGGGCAACCUUAGGAAGGUGUCCUCUCCCCACUUACUCUCCUGC